GCAGCAGUGGGGAAUUUUGGACAAUGGGCGCAAGCCUGAUCCAGCCAUUCCGCGUGAGUGAAGAAGGCCUUCGGGUUGUAAAGCUCUUUCGGCAGGAACGAAAAGGCGGGCUCUAACAUAGCCUGUUACUGACGGUACCUACAGAAGAAGCACCGGCUAACUACGUGCCAGCAGCCGCGGUAAUACGUAGGGUGCGAGCGUUAUUCGGAAUUACUGGGCGUAAAGCGUGCGCAGGCGGAUUGUUAAGCAAGACGUGAAAUCCCCCGGCUUAACCUGGGAAGGGCGUUUGGAACUGGCGGUCUAGAGUGCGUCAGAGGGGGGUGGAAUUCCACGUGUAGCAGUGAAAUGCGUAGAGAUGUGGAGGAACACCGAUGGCGAAGGCAGCCCCCUGGGAUGACACUGACGCUCAUGUACGAAAGCGUGGGUAGCAAACAGGAUUAGAUA
rnacentral:rRNA from 1 species